GGCGGCAGGCUUAACACAUGCAAGUCGAGCGGUAGCAGAUCUAGCUUGCUAGAUGCUGACGAGCGGCGGACGGGUGAGUAACGCGUAGGAACCUGCCCAGUAGUGGGGGAUAGCCCCGGGGAAACUCGGAUUAAUACCGCAUACGCUCUACGGAGAAAGAGGGGCUUCGGGCUCUCGCUAUUGGAUGGGCCUGCGUGAGAUUAGCUAGUUGGUGAGGUAAUGGCUCACCAAGGCGACGAUCUCUAGCUGGUCUGAGAGGAUGAUCAGCCACACUGGGACUGAGACACGGCCCAGACUCCUACGGGAGGCAGCAGUGGGGAAUAUUGCACAAUGGGCGCAAGCCUGAUGCAGCCAUGCCGCGUGUGUGAAGAAGGCUUUCGGGUUGUAAAGCACUUUCAGUGGGGAGGAAGGCCUCGUAGUUAAUAGCUGCGAGGAUUGACGUUACCCACAGAAGAAGCACCGGCUAACUCCGUG
rnacentral:rRNA from 1 species